CAAUAUUUGGAUGCACGGUUGUACUCGGCUCAGAAAAUAUUUCAAAUUUGAAGAAGACAAAAAAAGGUAUAUAAUACACUGAGCUACCUAUUCGAUAAAAAUUCCAAAAAUAGCCCAGAUGAAGCGGUACUUGAACGUAUGCGUACCGAUUUAAAAUGGAACGGGAAAAAGCUACACGAAAUAGAGAAUGUCAAACUAUUUUGGUCGUCCAUAGAAUUAUUUUAUAACCUGCAACGGUAUAAUGAAAUCAAAGAAAUACAAAAUUUUUCAUUGAUACCACAACUAAAACACGGUUUACAUCACGUCAGAUACGAUCGAUUUGCGUUCCAUCAACUAUUGUGUCGAUUAAAAUUAUUCAAAGGACCAUUUUCUUCCUUCGAUAAAAGUGAAUUUGGAAAGUAUUUUAAAAUUCCUUCAACGUGCACUAAAACGUUUUCAUCCUUACAAACUGAUGGCAUCUCCAUUUCAUUUUGUAUGGAAAAGCAAAUAAAAAUACAAAACGAAACUAAGCUAGUGAAAAAGAGAAAACUUAAAGAAAAAGAAACGGAUCGUACAGGAGAUAUACCCCACUAUUCUAACAGAGUCACAAAACUUAGCUCAUCACUGUUGUGAUUUCCAGUGCGCCGAGAAAUGUGUCACAAAAAAUUCGAUUUUGAGUGCUAGAAAAAUACACAAAAAUUUAAAAAAUUGAAUUGAAGCGUCAUAUUUUUUGAGCGGCAAGCUUUGAGGCGCGGUAGAAAUCACAGCAGUAAUGAGCUAAAAAUUGUCUGCGAAUUCGUCAAAUUUUAAAGAAUAUUGUAAAUUUGAACUUGAAAUACUGGAGCAAAAACAAAAAAUAGCCUCGCAAAGAAAGGUGGCUCGGCUGAAGCUGAAGAAAUACAUUUGCCGACAAAAAGCCUGCAACCAAGUUGCGCAACAACUGGUACCAAACAAAGAAGAGAAAACUUUAAUCUGCACCAAACUCACCAAUGCGCGUAUAUAGGCGAGUACCUAAUCGCCUACUAAUCGCAGCUUUAAGACAACGAACAGCAGACAUUCUAAUGGUUAACGAAUUCAGAACAACCAAACUUUGCGCAAAAUGUUACAACGUAAGCCUGACGUCCAAAUCGCCACACAGGUACCAGUUUUGUCCAAACUGCCGUACUUGCUGGAAUCACGACGUCAAUGCUGGGAAAAACAUUCUCUACCUGGGAGAGUCUAUCAUUAACCAAGAACAAUUAGAAUUUUCACAAAUAAGAUGUCAUUAUUUCAUUUAUGGCGCAAAAUAUGUACAUCUGACUGGCAACAGUUUAACUUAUGAUACUAUAAACAAUUGUAAGUUGAUAAAAAAGUUGUAAUACACCCCUCCCUAGCCUCGCAAAUAUCAGAAAAAAGCACGAACCACACCCACUUCUUAGUUUUUUUUAGCUUAACGGGUCGUAUUCUGCACUUAUGCAUUUUUUAACACCUCCGAAUGGAUUUCUGCCUUAAAAAAGGCAUCUCAUAAAGUCUAUUUGCUGUUCGGAGGCGUCGUAAGACUGUAGGUCCCUCCAUUUGUGUCACAAGAUCACGACGCAGCACCAAAAUAUUAUUAUUAUUAUACAAGUAAAUUUCGUCAAUAAAACCAGUGUUUAUUUUUUAGAUUUA
rnacentral:lncRNA from 1 species